AUUGAACGCUGGCGGCAUGCCUUACACAUGCAAGUCGAACGGCAGCGGGCCUUCGGGUGCCGGCGAGUGGCGAACGGGUGAGUAAUGCAUCGGAACGUGCCAUUGAGUGGGGGGAUAACGUAGCGAAAGUUACGCUAAUACCGCAUAUUCUGUGAGCAGGAAAGCAGGGGACCGCAAGGCCUUGCGCUCUUUGAGCGGCCGAUGUCAGAUUAGCUAGUUGGUGAGGUAAAGGCUUACCAGGCGACGAUCUGUAGCGGGUCUGAGAGGAUGAUCCGCCACACUGGAACUGAGACACGGUCCAGACUCCUACGGGAGGCAGCAGUGGGGAAUUUUGGACAAUGGGCGCAAGCCUGAUCCAGCCAUGCCGCGUGAGUGAAGAAGGCC
rnacentral:rRNA from 1 species